rnacentral:rRNA from 1 species
GAUGAACGCUGGCGGCGUGCCUAAUACAUGCCAGUCGAACGAAACUUCUUUAUCACCGAGUGCUUGCACUCACCGAUAAAGAGUUGAGUGGCGAACGGGUGAGUAACACGUGGGCAACCUGCCCAAAAGAGGGGGAUAACACUUGGAAACAGGUGCUAAUACCGCAUAACCAUAGUUACCGCAUGGUAACUAUGUAAAAGGUGGCUAUACUACCGCUUUUGGAUGGGCCCGCGGCGCAUUAGCUAGUUGGUAGGGUAAAGGCUUACCAAGGCAAUGAUGCGUAGCCGAAUUGAGAGGUUGAUCGGCCACAUUGGGACUGAGACACGGCCCAAACUCCUACGGGAGGCAGCAGUAGGGAAUCCUCCACAAUGGGCGAAAGCCUGAUGGAGCAACGCCGCGUGGGUGAAGAAGGUCUUCGGAUCGUAAAACCCUGUUGUUAGAGAAGAAAGUGCGUGAGAGUAACUGUUCACGUUUCGACGGUAUCUAACCAGAAAGCCACGGCUAACUACGUG